rnacentral:rRNA from 1 species
CGGGUGAGUAACGCGUGGGGACCUGCCUUGGGGUACGGAACAACUCAUGGAAACGUGAGCUAAUACCGUAUACGUUCUCUCUUCAUAGAGUUGAGAGAAGAAAAAUUUAUUGCCCUUAGAUGGACCCGCGUUAGAUUAGCUAGUUGGUGAGGUAAUGGCUCACCAAGGCGACGAUCUAUAGCUGGUUUGAGAGGAUGAUCAGCCACACUGGGACUGAGACACGGCCCAG